UCUCCAUUAUCCAUCCUCUGUCUGUCCACCCACUCACCCAUCUACCCACAGGCCUUCCCUCUGUCCACCCUGCCUAUAUCUAUCGGGGCAUCCAUCCACCCGACUCGUUGUUUUUUCUUAUUUCAGGCAGCCUAUCUAAACAUGGAUGCACGCAUAGAUUGACUGAAAGGUCACGUACUGUGCCACUUCUCUGUGCCGGGCACUCUUCUGGGGACGCAAUACUGGAUACACAACCAUGACCCAGCAGACGGAUCCCAGCCUCACAGAGCUCACCCAGCACGUGUACCCUCCUCCCUUCCAAGCACCCACGCCUCCUCUCCUGGCCUCCUGCACUCCUCCUCCCCGGGGAGGGCUGGGAGGGCCAGAGACGGAUCAGACCCAGGCUGGCUGCUGCGGCUUUCCCGGCCUGGCUAAAAUCAACCAUUAAAAGGGUUUGCCGUGUUCGUUACAGGGACCCUCUUCUAGAACAAAAAUGCCUCAAAGAGAUCGGAGCUGGUUGAAUCAACUACUUUUAGGAAAUGAAAUAAAACCAGCUGAGCCUGAUUUUGCCUCGACGGGCUGGCUUCCGUGUGACUGUGGGUCACGGUUCUUACCCUGGCCGAGCACUGGAGUCACAUGAGGCCUUAAAAAGACACCCCAGAUCCCGGGGCUGUGCUUGGACUCCAUCAGCAAAUAUGCACUUCCCUCCCCUCAGCAGAGGCCCCCUCCCUUCAGCGUGGAUAUCAGUCUACGUCCACCUGGCUGGCUCUGCCCCUGAGGACACAACACGAGCCGGCAGGUGAGGAGAGCUCUGGCAGUGCCCUCUGUCACCAUCACCAGGAGAAGGAGGAGAUUCCCCUGGAGCUGCCGCCGGGGCCCCUGAGAGAACCUGCUGGGGGGCCUGAGUGCAACCUGCCCGGGGAGCCUGCCCAGCAGGGCCUGCCGCCUGCAGCGUCCCCAUGCCCCGGCUGCCCUGGAUCCACAGCUGGCAGCGUGCCAACUCAGCUCCAAGAAAAGGAGAAAAUGCCAAGUGCCGGGGAGGACCCGGUACAUGUCCUGGGAGGAGAGUAACAUGGUAAAACCGCUUUGGAAAAUAGACGGUGCUUGGACCACACACCCACCAUGUCACCUGGAUGUUCCCCUCCUGGUGGUACAGCCAAGUGCUCCCCAAAGACAAGGUCAGGAGUACUCACACAGCACUAUUCACAAUAGCCCCAGUGGAAAGGACCCACACGUCCGCCAGCCUUUGAAUGGCUUUACACCUGGCGGUGCGCUCACGGGACGGACGGAGGGCACGCACCCGCGACGACAGAGAAACUCCCUCUACACACAAGGGUGGACCUCUCCACAUCGGCCUAACAUUGACCAGAUAAGCCAGUGCAAGGAUGCUGUGUGACCUUGGCUAACUCCCUGUCCCUCUCUGGGGCUCAGCUUUCCCAUUGCAAAAAGAAGACUCCAGGCUACAAGUUUUCCAGGGCUCUUUGGUUCUAAGGUGACCUGUUCGACAUGCCCUCCGCAAACCAGAGCUUAGCGUGGGACACUGGAACAGGGAAGCAGGUAAAGGUGGACGGAUGGAGGGCUUGAUACCAGCCACCCUAGGGCUACUUUCAAUUCUGCUAUUUGCUAGCUGUGUGACCUUGGGCAAGUCACCUCCCGGUUCCAGUCCCCUGGUUCGUGGAAGGAAGGUGAGCUGCUUCCACCGGCCGAGGGAGACAUGCAGGAGCAAAGCAGUGUGUAGGUGGCUUGUGGGGGGAGCUGCGGUUAACGGGACCCACAGCCCCACCCCAGGCCCUGCAGCCUGGACCCACAGGCAGAGGUCUGCUGGGGAGGCUUGGGUACCCAGGACGGCUGCAGUGUGCACGCCACCUCUGCCCCUCUCCCAGCCAUGUCCCUCAGCCUGAUUUCUGGUGGGACGUCUGGGGAAUGACCUCCUCCCCCGAGGCUCUAACAACCGCGCACACCGGCCCCAUCCAGGGAGCCCAGCCCCACGGCCAGGGCCAGGCCUGGCCAGAGCUGGAGGAGAGGAGGAAGAACCAUCGUUCAGUGCGGGUUUCUAAUCCCAGCCACAGCCCUGCCAGGGUCCUGCUUCUGCACCCAUUUCACAGAGGCAGAAACCGAGGCCCCCCCCCUUGGAAGAGCAGUGGCCGCGGAGGGCCCAGGAGCCGUUCUGACCACCUCACAUGUUAUUCAAGGAACCCCAUGGGAGCUAUCCGCCCCCAGGGGAAGUGGGGGCCCUGCAGUCCACACUUGGGUGCUGCAAGAAGGUGACCGGAACUCCUGGAAGGACCGGCCAGCCCUGAGCACCCCCUGCUGGCCCCUGGCUUGGGGACAGCACUCACUGCGCGCCCGCUUGCCCUGGGAAAGGGCUAUUUUAAUCCCAAUCUGCCUCCCAGGGAUUCCCCCGGGCCACUGGCCGGGACUCGGGGCUGGAAGGAGGCCAGCCUCUGCCGGGCCUUGGAAACCGAGCCGUGCAGCAUAAAGAGCCGGGUAAACUGAGGCCGGGGGAGGGGCAAAGCACCACGGGGUCCAUCACAGGGGCCACCCUCUCCAGAGACAGGUGCCCGUUUCACAGAUGGAGAAAUGGACAGUCCAGGGCGCCUGCAGCUAGGGAUCGGGGACUUGGACGACCCUGGAGCUGACUCUACACGCGGCUUCACGACCUGCCCGUGCAGCAGCUCCAGUGGCCCCAGGAGACGUCCUCAGGGUGUCCCUGGAAGGUACCACCGGCCCGAGCUACAGAGGACCGUGAGGAGGAGCGUCCCCCCUGCCAUAGCCCGGGCACUCACACUUGCCACCCCUGCGACUCUGCCUCCCCUCGUGGUGACAGUUGCUGAGUCUUCAUUUUGUACCAGAGGAGGCUGGAGGUGGCGACCUGCCCAAGGAGCCAGAGGCCAGGGCCUCAGCGGGAAGGGCCAGCGCCCCUGGGCCCAGGGUGGAUCGGCCUCCUCAGAGGCGUGUGUCCAAGGGCUCCUCACAUCCUGCUGCUCUGGCUGCCGGCAGUGGGCCUGCCUCCCUCUAGGAUCCAGAAACUUCUGAAGAGCAGGACUGCGUCACCUUUGUGUGUGACCCCAGGACCUACCCAAGGCCAGGUACACUGUGGGUGUUCAAUAGCUGCUGGGUGGACCGUGAGUAAACCAUGGAGUCAUGAUGAGGAUCACGCCUGCAGAGGCCACCCUUCACCUGGCAGGGUGGCCAUGACCGUGUGGCCUGGUGCCCCACUGCCCAGAGUCCAGCCCUGCUCUGCCAUCUACUGGCUGCAUGAGGGACAGCAGGUCACCGACACCCUGCCUCACUUUGCCACCUCUGGAGACAAUAAUAGCAUCUGGCAGCUGUUUUCAGAGGAGAUGAGGUCACAGUGUGAGCAGCAUAAUGCCCCUAAUGGCCCCCAAGGUGCAGCGACUCUCUGCCCUGACCCCAGAAAGCAGGUGGCAAGGGUCAACCCGUCCCUGCCAGGAGGCUGCACAGCCCAUGGCAGCCUUCAGGGAGGCUGAGUGAGGGUGGGAUUCUCCUGGGCUCUCCUCACAGAAAACAAGCCGAGCUGGAGCCAGCUCCAAGGCCUUCCUUGGACAGCAGGGACCGUGUCUCCCAGGCCACAGGUCCCAAGGUCAGGCACAAGGUCAGGGAUGGGGGAGCUGGGAAAGCACGCCACCUCCCUGGAGCCUGCCUGAGUAUAGGCUACGCCUGUCCGAGGGUCCUCCUGCCCCCUCCACCCUCCUGCGCUCAGGAUCUGCUGCCCUGGAACUUUGGAAGGACCUGGUCCACCCCACGCCUCUCAAUCCUGGGCCUGGAUUUCUGCAUGAGGCCACCACUUACAAUGACAAGACGGGCCUCUCAGGGAGCCUGUGGUCCCUUAGCGGUAUGGGGUACCUAAGUGUGCGGGGCCUCCAGUGAAGGCAGGGCCCAGGGUUCAGAGCCACUUGCCACCCUCAGAAAUGGUAGCAGUGAGCGGGUUGCCGUGGCCUUCCCUGCUCACCGCACGAUUCCGUGAGAAGGUGGUGUUGCCCCCAUCCUGCAGAUGGGAAGACGGAGGACACCCAGGGAGAAAGUGGCAGGGAGAGAGGGCGGUGUGCCUGACUUCCGGCUCUCAUCUCAGGUAGCUAACCACAGCUUUCAGCUGUUUUUGAAGAUUUAAGUAAAGGCUGGAGUCAAAUUGGAGAAUGAAUAUAUAUAUACACACACACACACACACACAUAUACGUUUAAAAGACUGAAGAUGAAUGGAUAUUAUAUACACACAUGUAUAUACAGUGAUUUAUGCUCCUACGUAUGUUUGCAGCUUGAGCCAUCUACCAUAUAACAUAAUUCCUUAUAUAAUAUUUAUUCAGUCCUCCUCUAUGUUUGUGGGUUCUGUGUCCAGGCAUUUAAACAACAUGGAUCAGGAAUAUCCAGGAAAAAGAAUUGUUCCAACGACUCUGAACAUGCAUUGACUUUUCCCCUGUUAUUAUUCUGUGAGCAACACACAUAACAACUAUUCACGUAGCGUCCAGGUUGAAUGCGCCAUCACGGGUCACCUGGAGGUGGUGGGGGGUGUCCGAGGAUCCACAAGGACCUGGGCAGACACCCUGACGUCUCAUACAGGAGACUUUUCCCCAGAUUUGGAUAUCUGCAGGGGGGUCCUGAAACCAACGCCCCACAGAUACCAAAGGAUGAAUAUACACGAUACACAUCAGACAUGCCAUCUGCAGAUCAGUUGCAGGAUUUUCAGGGUCUCUCAAAAGUCACGUGGCCCUAGCCAGAGGCAGUCCUGAGAGCUGGCUGCUUGGGCUACCUGGGGACACAGGAGGAGGAAUCGCCACAGCUGUCCUUGGCCCCAGUACCAGCCCUGUUCUGUUCAGUGCCCCGUCCUGCUGUCAAAACCCAUCUUUCUAAUCCACCAGCCCCAGACCAGAGGGGUCCUUCCAGUUGGGACUGUGGAUGUAGACAGCCAGGUCCUGGGUCCCUUUGCUUUAAUGCCUAAACAAUAAAAAAUACACUGGUACCUGAGGGUCCCUGGCAGGGUCCUAGCUGCUGCCUUGGGUGGAAGCCUUUGACCUCUCAGUACCCGGGAGCAUCAGCUUCUCAUGUGCAGAUGGGGAGACGGAGGUGCAGAAUGUAAGGGGCAGAGGGGCUCCGACUGCAUCUGCUGGUCCCUCUUUUCAUCUGACCCUCUGAACAUGGCAAGGGGUUAGUCACUUGACCCUAAACCUCGCCCCACAGGAGGUUUCUGCCCUGGUAGAGGACAGGGCCCCCCAGCCCUCGGCCCCCAGGAAGGGCUCCAGUCAAAGUCCCGGGUGGCCUUGGCAGGGGCCAGAGCUGACAGGCCUCUGUCCAGGGCCUCACCGCUGCUGAAGAACCUAACAUGCCCUCCCAGUGGCCGAUGGAAGACUCUUGCACGCUGGCUUUGGGUGCCAGGCCUUGGGGCUUCUGAAGGUGGGCCAGAGUCACCAGAGGACCCAGGAGUCUGCUCAGGCUGCAGACCCCACCAUGCCAGGCCCCUUUGUCCUUUGUAUGGAGAGAAACUGAGGCACCGAGAGAGGGUGCACCCAGCCCGAGGUGGACCAGCCAGACCCAAACCUGUCCAAACCUGGCUCCGCUCCCACUCCAGCACGACCCAGGCCCCGCCCAUUGUACAGAAGGGGAAACUGAGGCCAAGGCUCCAGCCGAACGGAGCGCCCUUGGCUUCCCCUUGCUCACCCAAAGCUGGGUGGCCCUCCGCGGAGUCUGGGACCCUGACAGAGAGCUAGGUGGCUUGUUUGUUUAUUGGCCUGCCAGGAACCCAGGAAGCUGCCCAGAGAGAGAGCCAGAGGAGAGAGGGAAUAAAUAAAACCAUGAGAAAGUCUCUUUUCUGUGUCCUGCACAGAGCCACAGCCUCAGGCGGUGCCCGGGAGCAGCAUGUGGAAGACAUGGGUGGCCGCCAAGUUUCCGUCCUGUUUCUCUGGGCCCACGCCGUUGAGCAACAGGCCCACAGGUCACCUUCCUCUCAGCCUCCUGGGUGGAGGGGCCCUUCCCUGCCUCCUGGCCCUGCAGGGACUGGCCCUCGUCCCAGGCCCCUGUCCUCCCUGCAGCCAGACCCAUCAGUGUGGCUCAGACACAUUCAGUGCUGGACACAGCAUUCCAGGCCCCUGACCCAGUUUCUGCCACGGCUCUAGGAAUGCCAGGCUCUGCCAGCUAUGCCAGCGGCCAGGGGUGGCAGAGAUGGGUGGGCGGGGCUGGCCCGUCCACCUCUGAGCCUCCAAUAACAACAGUGGCUGUGCCCACCCCUUCCAGCUCCCCAGCCCGAGUGCCCUGCCUGGCCUUGUUCUGUCCAUGGGCAGCGCGAGGGUCUGGACCCUCUUCCUGGCCCCCUGGGUGGCAGGACACAGGGGCCUGGGAGCAGGUGGGAAGGCUCAGGCGAGGCAGGAGAGCCCUCCCAGCGCCCCAGCGCAGGCCUGGCCGGGAAUCUUCUAAGCUAGACCCCUCCCCAAAGCUGAGGCCCCUUCCUGUCCUCUCCCCUCUCCCCUCUGGGUUUGGAUCUUUCCUUCUCUUCUCCCUGCUUUCCCUCUCUCCUCUCUCCUCCUACCUUUCCUGUCCUGUGUUCCUUUCUUUAAAAUAAAACCCAAACAGGAACUCGGGUUAGGAAUGUGGCGACUACUUCACCACCGGCUCCUCCAGCCUCCCUGUCCACCCCAAGCACGUGGACUCCGUUUAUAUUCCUGAGCACUGAUUAUUCCAGAAGAUGGUGUUGAGGGGAGGGACCUAGAGACGCAGAGAACUCUGUGACAGCCGCCACCUCCAGGCAGCCUGGCCUUGGCAGCUCAAGUGGAAGGCCAUUGGGCGGGCCCAGGGUAUUUUUGUGCCUCCUUCUGGAAGGCUCUUUUAGGUCCUGCCUGUGCUCGAUAUAUGGGCACCUCAUGAUGCCGGGGCAGUGCCAGGGACAUUUCAGCUGGGGGCACGAAGGUGCUGAUUCCCACUGCCCCGGCCCCCAGAGAGGCCAGAGGAGGUGGUGACUUAGAAGGUAGGCCCUGGAGGCUCAGAGGCCAGAGUUCGAAUCCUGCCUCCAAUACCUUGUAGCUGUCCAGCCUCGGGCAAGACUCACCCUCUCAUAACCUCUGUUUCCAAAUCUGAAAAAUGGGAGCAGCAAUCAUCUCUAGCUCCUGGCGACUUUGAAAAGAGUCAACGAGAGGAUUCACCACAAGUGCCUGGGCCGCUGCCUGGUCGUCCUCUGUGCCCAGUGGCCGCUCCUGGCACCGCUGGCGCUAUUCCUCAUUCUAACAUCGCCAUGGGUGCAUGAUGGCGGCUCCCACCCCGUGCUGCCAGGAGGCCCCCAGCCCUGGCCUGUCUGUGCACAGAGGAAGCAGGUUGGGUGGCACUGAGGGGUCCCUGCAGCCCCUGGAGGAGGCCGCACAGCUCGUCCCAGCUGGCUGGACCCCCUCGAAUUCCCUGAAGCCUCCCCUCAAGAGAGGGGCUUUUCCUUCAGGGAGGGUCCCUCCUGCCCUGCCCAGGGCCUCAGCCAGCAGCCCCUGACAUUACCUCCCCUCCCCUCCGUUGCUGCCUCCCACUCCUCGAGCCCGUCCACCCCCUGCCUUCCCCGGAGAGGCCUGGUCAGAUCCACCCUCCUCUCCUCUGCUCAAACACUUCUAGAAGAUGGUGUUGAGGGGAGAGACUUAGAGACACAGAGAACUUCUAGAGCAUGUUCCAUCUGCCCGCUUGGCCUCCCUGCAGCGCCCCUCCCACCAUCAUCAGGCCACUGUCUAGUCUGCUUUGUCCCGGCUGCUCCCACACCUGGCCCCUCACCCCACCCCAUGACAUCCCCCUGUCCUUCCGAAGGACGUCACCUCUUUAAACGUGCCCUCGUGCGUGCGUGGAUGUGCACAUGUAAGGAGUCUGCUCGCUUCCCUACCCCCAGCUGUGAACCCCACCUGGAGAACCCUCCUCCCUGUUUCCUCUCCUGAACCCCAAGAGGCUGCAGGUGGAGCCCACGGCACCUCGGUUACUCAGGACCCCAAACUCCUGCGCACGCACAAGCCCUCGGGGAGGCUGCGCUCACCGGAGUUCCCUGCGUGAAAGCAUCUGUUUGUUCACCUGACCUGAGACCAUUCCCAAAGACAUUUGUCAGACACAGAUAUUGCCCGAGACCGGGGACCCAACAGUAGCAUCAGUGACAGCCCCUUUUGCAUUCUAGUUCUAGACGGUCACAGCAGAGUGCCCAGCUAAGCAGGAGUCCUUCAGAAGAACGGAUAAGUACAUGCAAGUUGCCAGUUCUCUGUCCCCCAGACCCCAAAUGAAAGUCCCCAAGGGGCCGCAGGACUCCCGAGAACUGGAGCAGACAGAGCAACCAGAGGUCCCACUGCAGGACAGCUGGCAGGUCCCCACGGGCAGGGGAGGUGGGGCUGCGUUACCUGUUAGACCGGAACCAGGGACUCGCCCAGGGGCGGUGGACAGAGCUCUCCUGAGAGUGUGAGAAUUUCAGAGCCCAGAGCUGUCCCUCUGCCCUGGCCCUGCGCUUUGGGCUGCUGUGCCAGGCAGCUGGGUGACGCGCUCCUUUGAAGCAGGGAGUUUAUUUCGGGCCCACCGCAUGACCACUGAUGGCGAGCCAAGCUAUACGGUGCUCCGAAUCUCAGAUUUCCUGUUCGAAGACGGCACAGAGGAAGCUGCGGGGCCCCUUCCGAUCCUCCGGGUGGAUUAGAGCCGGACUCUCACUUGGGAGAGCAUCUCGGAACGUGGGCCUUCACGUGAUGUCACCAGUUGUGAUCCUUGACAUGGAGGCCAUAUAUGGCCCCCUUCCUGUAGGAGGACAUGGGAUUUAGGACAACCAUCAGACUCCUCCUCAACUCAAACUCAGGAAAGUUUGGGAUGCCGCGACCCUCACUUCCGAUGUUCCACGAGGAGAUAGAUCUCAGAUGCCGGGUGUCCAGGGCUGAGCCAAGGUUCGCCAAGGAUGGGAGGGGCAUCAUCAGUGCCCGGGAUGUCUCCCAGCUACUCCGGCACCUGCUGUGUUGUGUACCACCCUAGCUGGGACAGUCUGGAGGUCAUCUCAAGCGCAUCCUUCCAGACCACGUGCUGUGGCAGGGUGGGGAGGGGCUCCGUACUGUUUGCAGAUUCUCCUGGGGCUAAGACCAAGACCAGCUUAGACUGGAGACAUCUCUCUGCAUCUUGCUGCUUCCUGGGGCUCCUUGCUGGAGGUGAAACACAAUUUCCUCUGCUCACCGACGACCACCAACACCCUCUGCAGAUUUGACCUGGGGAGGGUGGGCCUGGGUCACCUCCCAGGCCCCCGUUAGGCUGGCCCCUGCUUUGCCCUCUCAGUACAAACUUCUCAUAUCAAGAGAGCUGGAGAAACUCGGCCUUCAAACCUUCCUGUCUCACUCCUGAACUCAGCAUUUGAAAAUCAAGAACCCAGCCGGGCACAGUGGGGCACCCCUGAAAUCCCACAGCUCAGGAGGCUGAGGCAGGAGGAUCACAAGUUCAAGACCAGCCUCAGCAACUUAUCGAGGCCCUGAGCAACUCAGCGAGACCCUGUCUCUAAAUAAAACAUAAAAAAAGGGCUGGAGGUGUGUCUCAGUGGUUGAGUGCCCCUGAGUUCAA